GACGUAGGGCGCGAGCGUUGUCCGGAUUUAUUGGGCGUAAAGAGCUCGUAGGCGGCUUGUUGCGUCGACCGUGAAAACCCGGGGCUCAACUUCGGGCCUGCAGCGGGUACGGGCAGACUAGAGUGCGGUAGGGGAGACUGGAAUUCCUGGUGUAGCGGUGAAAUGCGCAGAUAUCAGGAGGAACACCGGUGGCGAAGGCGGGUCUCUGGGCCGUAACUGACGCUGAGGAGCGAAAGCGUGGGGAGCGAACAGG
rnacentral:rRNA from 1 species